CUUUUCUCCCAAUAAGAGCUAUUAUUAGCGUUUGAAAUGACAGGUUUGGUCGCUUUCAAAAGCAAUAAAAGUGGAUGGUGCUGGUUACGGGAAGACGGCUCCCAAGUGAAGAAGAACUUGUCUCUUCUGGUUCCAGAUGAAACUUAGGAGUGAUUUCUCUAGAUCUACAAGAUUCCCCAUAUCAAGACUGUGGAGAAACAUAGCUGGCAUUUUAGGCGUCUUGUACAUAAUUUUAAUAGUCAGUACCUUGCUCUCCAACUGUAAAGAAUCAAGAAAACAACCUGGUAUUACUUAUGUAGAAUGGUUUGCUAUUAAGAAUGAAUGUCAUGAUUGAAUGAGAGCUGCUGUGACUGGCAGGAUGUAUCUGAGAUGGCUUCCUCUCCCAUGAUUGAUCAAGAGCUUCUGUGAAUGGCAUAAAGGGAUCUGAGAUGAGCCCCUCUCCCCACCAUUCAUUGGGAGCUUCUGUGAAUGGCAGAAAGGUGUCCAAGAUGGACAUCUGCUUCCCACCAUUGACCAGAGCUGCUGAAACUGGUGACAAAGAGAUCCAAGAUGGGUUACUCUCCUUGUGUUGACUGGGAGAUGCUGUAACUGGCAGAAAGGAGUCCAAGACAGGCUUCUGCUCCCUCCAUUGAUGGAACUAAGGAACUGGAGACAGUAGGAAAGAUGGAGGCUCAGUAGAUCUCUGGCUAAUGCACACAUGGUCAACAGGCAGGACUAGAGGUGCAGACAAAUUGGAAUCAACAGUAGAUGAAGUGAGUAACAUCAUGAGCCAGUAGAUGAAGUGUAGAAACCGAUUGGGACUGUGCAAACUGCUAGGAAAAACUGGCUAACUUCACCAUCAUGGGAAUACAGGCCACCACUGGGACUCUCUUCGGUGUAGCCAUUAUGGUCAGGAGAAGCUUCAGCCAUCCCUGCCCCUACAUGAGUCCGCAUGAGCUUGAUGGUUGCCAUUGGGAACUUUUAUCCAGCAUAGGCUAGGAGAACUAGAUAGUCAUGUCUCAGAGAAGCCACACAAGACAGGAAAAGCCUGCCCUGUGCCCCACACUCUCCCCAGGAACAUAGGUUAGGAGAAACUCAGGUGCCUGACCCAUUCCCCUACACUGCAGAUGGAUAGCCUAUAUGGUAAGUGUCUGGAACCCCACAACCAGCUCAUCAGAAAGAAACCAGGAAAAUGUCAAGAUGAAAGAGCCAGCAGCAAUCUCAGGCCUCCAACCCACACAGAACAAGUCCAAGAGAUACAGACAUGGAAGAAAUUAAAAUUUGCAUGCCUGAAAUUUCUAGGACGAUGGCAACUGAAGUAAAGAAAUUACUUCAUGAAGUUGUAAAAGAAAUCAGAUUAGAAAUAACAUUACAGAUAAAAGAAAAAAGGAACAUACUAAAAGGGUUGCUGAGCAUAUCAAAAGAAGACAUAGAUUAAAAGAAAAGCAUAGGAAAAUUAGGGAACCCUUGAAUGAGUAAUACAAGGAAGAAUUACAAUGCAUGAAAAAUUCAGAGAUAUUCAGGAAGUUAAAAUACCAUGAAAAAAAUGCUUGAAAGAAACUGAACAUCGACUCUCAGACUUUGAAGACAGGAUUGCAGCUAGUGAUCACAAAAGAAAAUGUCUUUUAAAAACAACAAGGAACCAGAAAAUAACAAUUUAAUGGCUGUAAGGUGAUGCAAAAAUAAUGUAAUAAUGAUAGUUGUCUGUGAAAAUCAGAGGUCUACACAAAUGACAUAAAAGGACUAUUCACAAGGGUAAUAACAGAAAACUUCCCAAGCAUUGGAAAAAGACCUGACAUACAGAUAAAUGAGGCAUAUAGCACUCCAGCUAACAUAUCUAUACCCAGGUAUAUAAUAAUAAAUAUCCUAGAAAUCCAGCACAAGAAUGGGAAUAUUAAAAGCUGCUGAAAGAAAAGAAACAAAUCACCUAGAAAAGAAAACCCUUCAAAAUCAUGACAGACUUCUCAACAAAAACCAUCAAGUCAAGAAGAACUUGGGGUGAAGUAUUUCAAGUCCUGAAACAAAACAACUUCCAGCCCAGAUUCAUGUAUCCUGCAAAACUAUCUUCAAAACCAACGGAGGAACAAGAUACUUCCAUGACAAAGAAUAGCUGAAGGAACUCAUGACCUCAAGUCAAUGCUACAAAAAAUACUGAAGGACAUACUAUAGAGAGAUAAAAAUGAUCACAGUUCCAGGAACAGUGGCAGAAGGGGAUUUCUAAGUGGGGCAAGCAAGUCAGUGGAGGAGAAAAGUAGGAAGCCAAUGACAGGAAAAUAUCAGGGCAGAGAAGAACCAGUGCUUAUUGGUCAUAGCCACUAAUGUGAUGGCCUCAAUACAGCAAUUAAAAGAAACAGAUGGAAUGGAUCAAGAAACAAGAUCCAUGUAUAUGCUGUAUACAAGAAACACAUUUGACUUGAAAGGAAAUUCAUAGACUGAAAAUCAAAGGAGAAAAAAGAUUGCUCCAUGCAACAGAGAAUCAGAAAAAAGCAGGAGUAUCUCGCCCAUCAAGCACAGAAUGGAUAAGAAAAAUAUGGCAUUUUUAUACAAUAGAAAGCUACUUAACUAUAAAGAAGUAUAAUCAUGAGGCUCUCAUAGGUAAAUGGAUACAACUUGAGAUCAUGCUUGAGGGUGAAGUGGUUCAGACUACAUGAGUGAACACUGUUUUGUCUCCUGAGUAUAAAAACUGAAGUAUUCAGUGGUACCUAAAAUGUACAAUAGAUAUUGUGAAAGUGAAAGGGGAAGAGACAUCUCAAAAGGUAAGAUGGUAGCCAUUAUUAAUUUCGUAUUAUCUUGUUUUGAAACCCUGUAUCAUUUUAAUUGCUCUGCUUUGUUUGAUUUUAUUCUGUUUUGUGUUGAUUUUCUUAAUCUGAUGUUUCAGGAAGGCAUUCUGAA